CAUUAGAACACAAAAUCCCACCAAUUCAAGGAAUGGGGAAAUCAGGCAUGGUCAUGCUAAGCACCUGUGGAGCCAGCUGUGGGGAACAAAAGUCACAAAAGACUACAGUGGACAGUACAUAGCCCUGCAGCCAUUGGGUUAAGCUUACCUCUGAAAAUGUAUGACUGUAUGUGAUAGAUUUAUAAAUUAUUUCUCUUAGAAUUUUAAUGCUUGUUUUUGUUUGUUAUGGUCAUUGUAGGUUUUCUAUUAUUCCAGUUUUAUUUGUUACAUAUUGCUUGAAUUUUGCUGAAAUGCAUUUUAUUCCUGUUUGUGUUUCAGUAUUACUGAUUCAAGUCAAAAGGAGAAUCUUGGCAUCAUUGUCCAAUACAAGGUUAAAGUAAAGCUGAACCUUGGUCCAUUAGUUGGUGAUCUGGUUGCAGAGUUACCCUUCACAUUGAUGCACCCCAAGCCAGAGGAGGAACCUGAGGUAAAUAACAAGCCUGCAGUCCCUCCUGCAUCCUCUCCGACACAGGAUCCCAAUUCUGCUCCGGCAGUAGACACCAAUCUCAUUGAACUUGACACGGAUGGCACAACUUGUUAUGCUGAUCAA